ensembl:lncRNA
AAAAGAGAAAAGAAAAAAAGAAAAUAGAAAUAAAAAAAGAGAACAGAAAAAAUAUGAAAAAAAAGAAAAAAGAAAAAAAAAGAAAGAAAAAAAACAGUAGAUGAAAAAAGAAAAAAACAAAAGGAAAAAACGAAAUAAUGACAAGAGAAGAAAGGUAAAGAGAAAAGAAGAAAAAAGCCAAGUCAAAAAGUAAAGAAUAACUCGAAGGAAGGAGUGGAUGGCAAGAAAUACAGAGAAAGCAGUGCAUAGCACAGCAGAGCAAAGCAAGGCAAAAUAGCAGCCAAAGCCACGAGAAUCAAGAAGUCAGUGAAGAGCAGGAAAGGAAUGGAGGAAUCUGUCCAGAGCUGUGCCCCUGCUUGCCACAGGAGCUGCGCGGGAGGAGAAGAACGUGGGCCAAAAGGAAUGGAGGAAUCUGUCCAGAGCUGUGCCCCUGCUUGGCCACAGGAGCUGCGCGGGAGGAGAAGAACGUGGGCCAAAAGGUAAGAGGAGCUCCUUUGGGUUCUGGGCUUGAAGCAAAGCUGAGAAGCCAUGCCCGGGAGGAGGUGUGGGUAGCUACAGGCCACCUUGCUAUCUCCCCAAGAGAUGAGGUGUGGGCUAGGCACCGGGCAGGAGUGCUGGCCAGAAGCAAGCAUCUCUGUGGAGGAAGGCAAAGGGCGGAGGAGGUUCAAGGGUAGCUACCGGGCAUGGCCUUGCUCAGCAAGGGGAGGAAAAGCCUGAAGGGCACGAGAAGGGGAUAGAGAAGGGCAGGCAGUAGGCGUGAAGCUGCGAGCAGAGUAGAGAGCAACUUGGCAGAGCAGCAAGCAGAGUAGGCAAGUGUUGAGGUUUGGCGUGAGUAGCAGCAGCAAAAGCCCAGAGCAUCAAGAAGCAGGAAGUGAGGAGAAGGUAAGUGAAGGGCAGGCAAGGUAAUGGGAGGCAAAGGCAAG